rnacentral:rRNA from 1 species
AACACAUGCAAGUCGAGGGGCAGCACGUGGUUUGCUUGCAAACCAUGGUGGCGACCGGCGCACGGGUGAGUAACGCGUAUCCAACCUGCCCCUUUCCCCGGCACAGCCCGCGGAAACGCGGAUUAAUGCCGGAUGGCGUUGCGUGACGGCAUCAGAGCGCGACUAAAGGGUUUCUCCGGAAAGGGAUGGGGGUGCGUCCGAUUAGCUAGACGGCGGGGUAACGGCCCACCGUGGCGACGAUCGGUAGGGGCCCUGAGAGGGGGGUCCCCCACAUUGGGACUGAGACACGGCCCAAACUCCUACGGGAGGCAGCAGUGAGGAAUAUUGGUCAAUGGGCGGAAGCCUGAACCAGCCAAGUAGCGUGGGGGAAGACGGCCCUAUGGGUUGUAAACCCCUUUUAUGCGGGGACAAAGUACGCGUCGUGACGCGUUUUGCGGGUACCGCAUGAAUAAGGACCGGCUAAUUCCGUGCCAGCAGCCGCGGUAAUACGGAAGGUCCGGGCGUUAUCCGGAUUCAUUGGGUUUAAAGGGAGCGUAGGCCGCCCCUUAAGCGUGCCGUGAAAAGCAGCGGCUCAACCGCUGUCGUGCGGCGCGAACUGGGGGGCUUGAGUGCGCGGGAGGCAGGCGGAAUUCGUGGUGUAGCGGUGAAAUGCAUAGAUAU